UACGAAGGGGGCUAGCGUUGCUCGGAAUUACUGGGCGUAAAGCGCACGUAGGCGGCUUCUUAAGUCGGUGGUGAAAUCCUGGAGCUCAACUCCAGAACUGCCUUCGAUACUGGGAAGCUCGAGUCCGGGAGAGGUGAGUGGAACUGCGAGUGUAGAGGUGAAAUUCGUAGAUAUUCGCAAGAACACCAGUGGCGAAGGCGGCUAUCUGGACGGUUUCUGACGCUAAGACGCGAAAGCGUGGGGAGCAAACAGG
rnacentral:rRNA from 1 species